CGUAGGUAAUCUGCCUUUCAGUCUGGGAUAGCCAGUGGAAACAUUGGGUAAUACCGGAUACUUCUUAUGCAAGGAAUUGUAUAAGAGAAAAGUACUUUUGUGCUGCUGAUAGAGGAGCCUGCGCUUGAUUAGCUUGGUUGGUGGGGUAAUGGCCUACCAAGGCGACGAUCAAUAGCCGGCCUGAGAGGGUGUACGGCCACACUGGGACUGAGACACGGCCAGACUCCUACGGGAGGCAGCAGCUAAGAAUCUUCCGCAAUGGGCGAAAGCCUGACGGAGCGACACCGCGUGGAUGAAGAAGGCCGUGAGGUUGUAAAAUCCUUUUAUUGUUGAGGAAUAAUUAUUAUGCUUAAGUGUAAUAUGAUGACGGUAGGCAAUGAAUAAGCCCCGGCUAAUUACGUG
rnacentral:rRNA from 1 species